CGUAGGGUUGCCCUGUAAGGUGCCAUCCCGUCAGUUUGAUUGGGUGGAGAAUUGGGAAGCCGGUGAGAGUCCGGUACUGCCCCCGCAACGGUAAGGCAAGUUAGGUUCGGCAAUACGACCACUGGGAGGAGGAUCCCGGGAAGGUGCCGCAAUCGGGCGAAAGCCACUUCCAAGUCCGGAAACCAGCCUUGCAGAUAUGUCAAAC
rnacentral:ncRNA from 1 species